rnacentral:rRNA from 1 species
UACGAAGGGGGCUAGCGUUGCUCGGAAUCACUGGGCGUAAAGCGCACGUAGGCGGUUUGUACAGUCAGACGUGAAAUUCCUGGGCUCAACCUGGGGGCUGCGUUUGAUACGUGCAGACUUGAGUUCGGAAGAGGGUCGUGGAAUUCCCAGUGUAGAGGUGAAAUUCGUAGAUAUUGGGAAGAACACCGGUGGCGAAGGCGGCUCUCUGGACCGAGACUGACGCUGAGGCGCGAAAGCGUGGGGAGCAAACAGGG